rnacentral:lncRNA from 1 species
AAAUUUUCUAGAGAGCCUUGAGGAUAUCUUCAACCCCGGAAACGGUGAACUCACCGCCAGAUUCAAUAUUGGCUACAGUCACCUUGAGGUUAUCGAGCAACAUAGCGAAUCUCCUUGACCUAAUGCCAAGACCCUUGUCCUUGAGGUCAAGCUCAAGUCCUAGAAGGUGAGUGUAUUCACCAGACCCAUCAGCUACAAACUUCACAUGCUUGUUCUCUGGGUAUGUCUUUCCCCAUGCCUUCAUCACAAACGGAUCGUUUACUGCAACAACCAAUGUAAAUGAUGGUGUCAAGCUUUUGCACAUCAAGCAUACUCAGCCAAAUACAAAAAACCAUUACAGUUUCACGAACUUUAAACCAAAUUCAAUAUAAGGGAUCUCAAGAGACAAUAUAAACACCCCAACCUCCAUCCAAAUCACUAAAAGACUAUUCUUUAACAACCUUUACAUUGAUCAAUUCAUAUACAAUUCAAAGCAGUCUUAUUCAAAGAUCAUUCACUAGCAAAUAUCCAUUAGCAAGUUACAACCUUUAGAAGGAUCAAUUCAUAUGUAACUCAAGUUCGGAUCCAUUAGCAAGUUACAACCUUUAAGAACGAUCAAUUCAUAUGUAACUCAAAGUCAGAUCCAUUAGCAAGUUACAACCUUUAAGAACGAUCAAUUCAUAUGUAACUCAAGUUCAGAUCCAUUAGCAAGUUACAACCUUUAAGAACGAUCAAUUCAUAUGUAACUCAAAGUCAGAUCCAUAGACCUGUCCAAAUCCAAGCCGCUUAAAAUCUCUGAAACAACAACUACAAUUCACAUUGAUCUUUGACAUGUUUGACUAGACAAACAAAUUCGACAUUUCAAUCAGAUUUCAGAUUUCAACUACCAAAUGAAUUCAAGAACAUCAUAGAGGAUUCAAAACUCAGAAACAUACACAAAACUGUCAUAGAGGCCAGAACAGAGCUGAGAUAAGAAAAGAUAACAAUUAAUACUCACCGCUAAAGCAAAUGAUCUCAUCAAUACCCUUUGACUUCAACUCCUCUGCUUUCUCAAUGAAUCCAGGAACAUGGCUCAUACUAAGAUCACAACAACAGCAAAAUGAAAACCCAGUUCAUAAAUCGAAGCUAAGGAGCUUAUAAAGCUAGUUCCAAGGAGAAAUCUAAAGAAAGUUUGAAACUUUAUACAUACCUGCAAGUGGGAGUGAAAGCACCAGGAACACCAAAGAGGAUGACUUUCUUACCGGCGGCGAUGGAGUGAACAGAGACGGUCUGAAGCUGAUCAUUCUCAUCGAAGAAUGAGAUAGAUCCGUCCGGUACAACAUCGCCGACAGUAAUUGGAGCCAUUAUGAGAGAUCUCUGAGGAUUUGAAGCAAAAAGGGGCUAAUGAAGAAGAGUUUGGUUUGACUUGAAAAUGAGUAAUAAGGGGUUGGGACAAUUUAUAGUGAUUUACGGAAUCAAAAUACUGUAUAUACUUAAUUAAUAGAUUUCUAAAAUUAGUUUUUACCACGAAACGGAUAAAAAAUAGGUUUUCUAAAAUUAUGGACAAUACCCAAAAAUAAACUUUGUUUUCCAAAUAUAUAACAUAGACACAUAUUUUGAAAAAUAAAUUAUUACAAAAAAAAAUCUGAUUUAAAAUCUUUGUUUUACUAACAUCAAAAAAUCAUAGGUAUAAACAUGAAUUCGAUUUCAUUCUAAAUCUAUUAUCUCAUUCAUCGUUUCAUUGCAAAAUAGACUGACUCAAAACCUUCGUUCUUUAUAUCCGCAUUAAAAUGCCACAAACAUGUGUGGGUUGUCUCUCACCUAUUUUUUAUGAGUACCUAGACACCAUGAACUCCAACAUCGAUAAUAAUGUCCAAAUCAUUGUAGAAUCUUUACAGUUCCUAAAGCUGUUAUUAUUUUGGGGAAAAUUUAUGACAACAAAAACUGUGUUUUAAAAAAAAAUAUAUAUAUAAUUUCAAAAAUCGUACAUAUAAACAUGAAUUUUUAUCUUGCAGAAUUGGACUUUGAUCAAUUAUUUUAUUAUUACUUUUGAUUUAAUUUCAAUUUUGAAUGAACUUAUAUUUCUUGGUUCUUAUUAGAAAUCUUACAUAUAUUAUAUAUUUAGUGUAGGAAAAUAGUGAACUGUCGAUUUGAAACAAGUAAUCGAUAUAACUACCUAUAUAUCUUACUAAAGUUUAGUUACUUUUUCAAACAACAUUAUUAAAACUUCAUAAUUAAUCAUGUUUGGCAUAAAAAAUGAUUUUCAUGAUUGAUUGAUCUCGAAAAUGAUUAUCAGUACCGUAUGACUGACAAUACAAUAAUGAUUUGUAAAUUCAGUACAAAACAAUUCCUUACCUUCUUAAUUUUCAUGUAUAUACGUAGUUGGUACUUGGUAGCUGUCUAUUAAAUUAUUAUAUUUUACCGUUAUGAUCAUUAUUCUAGUACGCUCUAUUGUUCGAUAAAGAUGAUUAUCAAUCCAAACUAAAAUAUUAUUUAUUUUAUUUAUAAAAUCUAAACUCUAACCAUUAUUUAAUAAAUCUAAACUCAAAUACAAUUUCGUUUAAUUACAAAACUUAAACCCUAACCACUAUUUGAUAAACCCAAACUAAAAUAUAAUUUUGUUUAUUUAUAAAAAUUAAACGCUAACCAUUCUUUUAUAAACCGAAACCAAAAUAUAAUUUCCUUAAUGAAAAUCCUACAUAAUUUGUUUCCUUAAUUUAUUUAAUUUUGAUUUAUUUUUUAUAUAGAAAAUGACAUGGCAUAUUUUUGUAUUUUGAUUGGUUAAUUAAGAGGAUGUAAACAAGAAUGGUUCACCCCUAAGGGUGAUCCCAAAUAUUUUUCUUCAAGAAAGGGCUAAUGAAGUGCUUGGAUUGCUUGAAAAUAAAUAAUAGGGAUUGAGACAAUCUAUAGUAUUUUACGGAUUGAAAACAUACCAUUGAUAGAUUACUAAAAUUAUGGACAAUACACAAAACUAAUUUAUUUCCAAAUAUAUAAUAGACACAUAUUUUCAAAAUUAUUUUCUAUGACAAGAAACUAAAAUUUGGUUUAAAAAAAAUAUAUAUUUUCUAACUUCAAAAAUCAUACUUAUAAGCAUGAUUUUUUUUUUGUCGAUUGGACAUGUUAUCGAUUAUCUCUACUAUUAUUUCUUACUAAAUUUCAGUUUUGGAUGAAUUUACAUUUCCUGUUUCUUAUUAGAAAUCUUGCAUGUUGAUUUGGUUAAUUAGAUAAAUAGCCAGCUUAAAAAAUAUUAAAAAAAAUAUGAAAUUGCUAUUUUGCUCCCAAAAGCAUUACAAUUCACAACGAUAACACUUCGAUUUUUAGAAAUAUAGAACUCAUGAGCAACGUUCAAAAUAAUUGAUUUAGCUACAUAUCUUACUAAAAUAUAUUUAUUUUACUUUUUAAAAAGCAUGAAAAAAUUUUAUAAUUUAAAUGUGUUCGGCUUAAAACAAUUUCAUAGUAUAUAAUAUAUCGAGAAAGUGAUUCACACUAUCGUGUGUGAAUGAUGAUAAAAUACAAAUCUUAUGAUGAUUUGUAAGUUCGGUAAAUAAUUUUCGAACUUUCUCAAACGCUAUAUGAUUAUCGAAUGAAUGUAAAACUCAAAGACCAAACGAAGGACAUAAAGAGUCCACAGACGAUGGCCGUCGAGACACUACAACAGUAAAUGGUAGCUCAUUUCUCCUUCUAGUGAAAGUGACAUUACCAUAAAAUUCCCUACCAUCUUAAUGUUCAUACAAUCAUGACAAGAAAAAUGUCCAUUAGUUGUCAAGUCUAUGUAGCGGUAUACGUAGUUGUCACAUUUAACAUACACAUACUUAUAGUUACACUUGGAUCUGAUAUGUUAUUAUAGUCUUACAUAACUUAGUAUUCGAUAUACUAUAAAACCGUGAUUAUAUAGGCCAAUGUCAUACAUGGGCUUGCAUUGUCCCAUAAUGCUGGGCUCGUGGACUUGUGUCAAUGUUCUUACAACUGACACAAUGUCAUGAGCAAGACAUCCGAAAAACAUUGGAUGGAAACAAACCAUGUCCAUGGCAUCUAUAUAACUGUAUACACAACAAGAUAUAACUGUAUACACAACACCUUUAUGUUCAUCUUUUCAUUGGUAUUGAGAUAUCAGAUGCUAAAUCCCAUGGAUAGGACUGUACGAGCAUGUAAGUUAUAGAAGACAAUAACCUAACUAUGCAUGAUACCCUCUUUACCAAAACGAUGGUAACCUAACUUUUUGGUACGUGUCUCCCAUAAAAGAUUAGGUAUGCAUCUUAAUGCAUAAAUCAACCACAGAGAAAGACACCAAAGUCAGUACUUUAUUAUGCCUAGCAAGUCAUCACACACCGCAUUAUUAUAUGCCUACUUGUUCAAAAACCAGGCGAUAUAGAAUCUGCUACUUCAAAUACAGCGGUUUAGGUGGACAACAAAGGCAAACGACAUAAAGUUUCUUAGAGAGCCUUGAGGAUAUCCUCGGCGCUGGAAACCGUGAACUCACCACCGGAUUCAACAUUGGCUACAGUCACCUUGAGGUUAUCAAGCAACAGAGCGAAUCUCCUUGACCUAACACCAAGACCCUUCUCCUUGAGGUCAAGCUCAAGUCCUAGAAGGUGUGUGUAUUCCCCUGACCCGUCAGCUACAAACUUCACAUGCUUGUUCUCUGGGUAUGUCUUUCCCCAUGCCUUCAUCACAAAAGGAUCGUUCACUGCAACAAUACAUUCAAAUCACGCAUGAAUACUAUAAACAAAACAAAAGCAAGCAUAGACAUUCAGAUCCAUAACAUUUGCACAUCAAGCACACUGAGCCAAAUACAACAACCAAUCUAAUUUUAGAGCUCCUGAGACACCAAAUACUCAAGGCAACCGACGGCUAAAUCAUUAAAGACCCUUCAUAAACAACCCUUAAGAACACAAUCUAUUGUACUCUAAAACUG